GCUUACGGCCAUACCACCCUGAGAACGCCCGAUCUCGUCCGAUCUCGGAAGCUAAGCAGGGUCGGGCCUGGUUAGUACUUGGAUGGGAGAGACCGCCUGGGAAUACCAAGGGUGCUGUAAGCU
rnacentral:rRNA from 1 species